rnacentral:miRNA from 1 species
UGGCAGCUGGCAUGUCAGAAUGCAGGUGUGAAUGGACAUUGGGGGUCUGGUUCUGGCUUUCAGCUGUCACC